CGAACUCAAAUAUAGUCAAUA
rnacentral:piRNA from 1 species